AGCGUACACGGUGGAUGCCCUGGCAGUCAGAGGCGAUGAAGGACGUGCUAAUCUGCGAUAAGCGUCGGUAAGGUGAUAUGAACCGUUAUAACCGGCGAUUUCCGAAUGGGGAAACCCAGUGUGUUUCGACACACUAUCAUUAACUGAAUCCAUAGGUUAAUGAGGCGAACCGGGGGAACUGAAACAUCUAAGUACCCCGAGGAAAAGAAAUCAACCGAGAUUCCCCCAGUAGCGGCGAGCGAACGGGGAGCAGCCCAGAGCCUGAAUCAGUGUGUGUGUUAGUGGAAGCGUCUGGAAAGGCGCGCGAUACAGGGUGACAGCCCCGUACACAAAAAUGCACAUGCUGUGAGCUCGAUGAGUAGGGCGGGACACGUGGUAUCCUGUCUGAAUAUGGGGGGACCAUCCUCCAAGGCUAAAUACUCCUGACUGACCGAUAGUGAACCAGUACCGUGAGGGAAAGGCGAAAAGAACCCCGGCGAGGGGAGUGAAAAAGAACCUGAAACCGUGUACGUACAAGCAGUGGGAGCACGCUUAGGCGUGUGACUGCGUACCUUUUGUAUAAUGGGUCAGCGACUUAUAUUCUGUAGCAAGGUUAACCGAAUAGGGGAGCCGAAGGGAAACCGAGUCUUAACUGGGCGUUAAGUUGCAGGGUAUAGACCCGAAACCCGGUGAUCUAGCCAUGGGCAGGUUGAAGGUUGGGUAACACUAACUGGAGGACCGAACCGACUAAUGUUGAAAAAUUAGCGGAUGACUUGUGGCUGGGGGUGAAAGGCCAAUCAAACCGGGAGAUAGCUGGUUCUCCCCGAAAGCUAUUUAGGUAGCGCCUCGUGAAUUCAUCUCCGGGGGUAGAGCACUGUUUCGGCAAGGGGGUCAUCCCGACUUACCAACCCGAUGCAAACUGCGAAUACCGGAGAAUGUUAUCACGGGAGACACACGGCGGGUGCUAACGUCCGUCGUGAAGAGGGAAACAACCCAGACCGCCAGCUAAGGUCCCAAAGUCAUGGUUAAGUGGGAAACGAUGUGGGAAGGCCCAGACAGCCAGGAUGUUGGCUUAGAAGCAGCCAUCAUUUAAAGAAAGCGUAAUAGCUCACUGGUCGAGUCGGCCUGCGCGGAAGAUGUAACGGGGCUAAACCAUGCACCGAAGCUGCGGCAGCGACGCUUAUGCGUUGUUGGGUAGGGGAGCGUUCUGUAAGCCUGCGAAGGUGUGCUGUGAGGCAUGCUGGAGGUAUCAGAAGUGCGAAUGCUGACAUAAGUAACGAUAAAGCGGGUGAAAAGCCCGCUCGCCGGAAGACCAAGGGUUCCUGUCCAACGUUAAUCGGGGCAGGGUGAGUCGACCCCUAAGGCGAGGCCGAAAGGCGUAGUCGAUGGGAAACAGGUUAAUAUUCCUGUACUUGGUGUUACUGCGAAGGGGGGACGGAGAAGGCUAUGUUGGCCGGGCGACGGUUGUCCCGGUUUAAGCGUGUAGGCUGGUUUUCCAGGCAAAUCCGGAAAAUCAAGGCUGAGGCGUGAUGACGAGGCACUACGGUGCUGAAGCAACAAAUGCCCUGCUUCCAGGAAAAGCCUCUAAGCAUCAGGUAACAUCAAAUCGUACCCCAAACCGACACAGGUGGUCAGGUAGAGAAUACCAAGGCGCUUGAGAGAACUCGGGUGAAGGAACUAGGCAAAAUGGUGCCGUAACUUCGGGAGAAGGCACGCUGAUAUGUAGGUGAAGUCCCUCGCGGAUGGAGCUGAAAUCAGUCGAAGAUACCAGCUGGCUGCAACUGUUUAUUAAAAACACAGCACUGUGCAAACACGAAAGUGGACGUAUACGGUGUGACGCCUGCCCGGUGCCGGAAGGUUAAUUGAUGGGGUUAGCGCAAGCGAAGCUCUUGAUCGAAGCCCCGGUAAACGGCGGCCGUAACUAUAACGGUCCUAAGGUAGCGAAAUUCCUUGUCGGGUAAGUUCCGACCUGCACGAAUGGCGUAAUGAUGGCCAGGCUGUCUCCACCCGAGACUCAGUGAAAUUGAACUCGCUGUGAAGAUGCAGUGUACCCGCGGCAAGACGGAAAGACCCCGUGAACCUUUACUAUAGCUUGACACUGAACAUUGAGCCUUGAUGUGUAGGAUAGGUGGGAGGCUUAGAAGUGUGGACGCCAGUCUGCAUGGAGCCGACCUUGAAAUACCACCCUUUAAUGUUUGAUGUUCUAACGUUGACCCGUAAUCCGGGUUGCGGACAGUGUCUGGUGGGUAGUUUGACUGGGGCGGUCUCCUCCUAAAGAGUAACGGAGGAGCACGAAGGUUGGCUAAUCCUGGUCGGACAUCAGGAGGUUAGUGCAAUGGCAUAAGCCAGCUUGACUGCGAGCGUGACGGCGCGAGCAGGUGCGAAAGCAGGUCAUAGUGAUCCGGUGGUUCUGAAUGGAAGGGCCAUCGCUCAACGGAUAAAAGGUACUCCGGGGAUAACAGGCUGAUACCGCCCAAGAGUUCAUAUCGACGGCGGUGUUUGGCACCUCGAUGUCGGCUCAUCACAUCCUGGGGCUGAAGUAGGUCCCAAGGGUAUGGCUGUUCGCCAUUUAAAGUGGUACGCGAGCUGGGUUUAGAACGUCGUGAGACAGUUCGGUCCCUAUCUGCCGUGGGCGCUGGAGAACUGAGGGGGGCUGCUCCUAGUACGAGAGGACCGGAGUGGACGCAUCACUGGUGUUCGGGUUGUCAUGCCAAUGGCACUGCCCGGUAGCUAAAUGCGGAAGAGAUAAGUGCUGAAAGCAUCUAAGCACGAAACUUGCCCCGAGAUGAGUUCU
rnacentral:rRNA from 1 species